UCCUCCCGUAUCCAACGGCAACGAAACCUCUCCCUCUUUCUUGUGUUUCCUUCAAUCCACCCACGAGACGCCCACUUCUCUUCCACCGGGGGCGAAGUGGAUCUGAGUCGGCCUCUUCCAGAUCCUCCAUCCUCCGCCCUCCCCAUCCAUGGCCGCUGCCACUUCACCAAGAAAAAGUCCGUGUUAGCUGCCGCUGCCACUUCACCAAGAAAAGGUCCGCGUUAGCUACCGCUGCAUCCUCUUUAUCCAUGACCAUCUUCCCCUCUGCAUCCCGCAACGGCCAUAUGCCUCCGCGAUGUUAGCCUCGUCUCUCAGGCGAGAGCGCCCCUGAAGGCGGACCCAGUGCUCGUGGCGCCGGUUCCAUUCCUACGGAUGGUGCCCACCUUGCUGCACGGAGCGACAAGGUCCCUCGUGGGCGUGCACAAGCUGGAUGGGCUGGGCGCGAUGACUACGGGCGUGCUCAAGGUCCCGCUUCAGCCUCACCUGACGACGCGCCUGGUGGAGUUCCGCCGCAUCGGACCGGCGGGAUCCUUGGCAGGCUGUGAGCCGCAGUCCACCAGGUAAUACAAGCUCUAUGGAGUCUUCACCGGUGGAGACAGAGUGCCUUCCAGAAGCAUGGUUAUGUUGCAAAAAUGGGACCUCUCUCCGAUGACUUUGGCGAGUACGGCCGAAUCGGUGGCCACAAAGACACUGGAAUUAACCAAAGUUAACAUAUGGCGAGCGCCCCGGCGCCUGAGGAGCUGUAGAGUAGCUUAGUGUUCUCCAUGAGAUGUUUGUAAUUUUAAGUUUUUAGGAAUUUUUUGCUCCUGUAGAUGUGUAUUUUCCGGUUUGUUUAUGUAACCUUUAUUUAAUUUAUUAAUGAAAUGAGCAUAUAUUUUUCUGACCA